CCCAGAAGACUGGUACUCCUGAGAGGCAGAUGAAGUGGUGGUCUUUGAUAUCGAGCCUGGGAUGCCCUGGGCACAUGAGGAGGUGCAGGAGAACAGCUCUGUGAUACCAUUUAACUUGUUGACAUUACUUUUAUUUGAAGGAACGUAUAUUAGAGCUUACUUUGCAAAGAAGGAAGAUGGUUGUUUCCGAAGUGGACAUCGCAAAAGCUGAUCCAGCUGCUGCAUCCCACCCUCUAUUACUGAAUGGAGAUGCUACUGUGGCCCAGAAAAAUCCAGGCUCG
rnacentral:lncRNA from 1 species